CUUUUCGAGGAAGCCCUGGAAAAAUAUGGGAAGGAUUUCACGGACAUUCAGCAAGAUUUUAAACGCUUGAAAGCAGCUGAAGCUGAGAGCAAGUUAAAGCAAGUUUAUAUUCCCAACUAUAACAAGCCAAAUCCGAACCAAAUCAGCGUCAACAACGUCAAGGCCGGUGUGGUGAACGGCACGGGGGCGCCGGGCCAGAGCCCUGGGGCUGGCCGGGCCUGCGAGAGCUGUUACACCACACAGUCUUACCAGUGGUAUUCUUGGGGUCCCCCUAACAUGCAGUGUCGUCUCUGCGCAUCUUGUUGGACAUAUUGGAAGAAAUAUGGUGGCUUGAAAAUGCCAACCCGGUUAGAUGGAGAGAGGCCAGGACCAAACCGCAGUAACAUGAGUCCCCACGGCCUCCCAGCCCGGAGCAG
rnacentral:lncRNA from 1 species